AUACGGAGGGUGCAAGCGUUAAUCGGAAUUACUGGGCGUAAAGCGCGCGUAGGCGGUUUGGUAAGUCGGAUGUGAAAGCCCCGGGCUCAACCUGGGAAUUGCAUUCGAUACUGCCAGACUAGAGUAUGGUAGAGGGAGGUGGAAUUCCGGGUGUAGCGGUGAAAUGCGUAGAUAUCCGGAGGAACACCAGUGGCGAAGGCGACUUCCUGGACCAAUACUGACGCUGAGGUGCGAAAGCGUGGGGAGCAAACAGGAUUAGAUACCCCAGUAGUCC
rnacentral:rRNA from 1 species